UACGUAGGGCGCAAGCGUUGUCCGGAAUUAUUGGGCGUAAAGAGCUCGUAGGCGGCUUGUCACGUCGGGUGUGAAAGCCCGGGGCUUAACCCCGGGUCUGCAUUCGAUACGGGCUAGCUAGAGUGUGGUAGGGGAGAUCGGAAUUCCUGGUGUAGCGGUGAAAUGCGCAGAUAUCAGGAGGAACACCUGCGGCGAAGGCGGGUUGCUGGGCCGACACUGACGCUGAUGCGCGAAAGCUAGGGGAGCGAACGGG
rnacentral:rRNA from 1 species